rnacentral:rRNA from 1 species
GAGUUUGAACCUGGCUCAGGAUGAACGCUGGCGGCGUGCCUAAUACAUGCAAGUCGAGCGAACCACUUCGGUGGUGAGCGGCGAACGGGUGAGUAACACGUAGGUGAUCUGCCCAUCAGACGGGGACAACGAUUGGAAACGAUCGCUAAUACCGGAUAGGACGAAAGUUUAAAGGUGCUUCUGGCACCGCUGAUGGAUGAGCCUGCGGCGCAUUAGCUAAUUGGUAGGGUAAAGGCCUACCAAGGCGACGAUGCGUAGCCGACCUGAGAGGGUGAACGGCCACACUGGGACUGAGACACGGCCCAGACUCCUACGGGAGGCAGCAGUAGGGAAUCUUCGGCAAUGGGCGAAAGCCUGACCGAGCAACGCCGCGUGAAUGAUGAAGGCCUUCGGGUUGUAAAAUUCUGUUAUAAGGGAAGAACGACUUUAGUAGGAAAUGGCUAGAGUGUGACGGUACCUUAUGAGAAAGCCACGGCUAACUACGUGCCAGCAGCCGCGGUAAUACGUAGGUGGCGGGCGUUAUCCGGAAUUAUUGGGCGUAAAGAGCGCGCAGGUGGUUGAUUAAGUCUGAUGUGAAAGCCCACGGCUUAACCGUGGAGGGUCAUUGGAAACUGGUCGACUUGAGUGCAGAAGA